AUUGAACGCUGGCGGCAUGCUUUACACAUGCAAGUCGAACGGUAACAGGCCGCAAGGUGCUGACGAGUGGCGAACGGGUGAGUAAUGCAUCGGAACGUGCCCAGUCGUGGGGGAUAACUACUCGAAAGAGUAGCUAAUACCGCAUACGAUCUAUGGAUGAAAGCGGGGGACCGUAAGGCCUCGCGCGAUUGGAGCGGCCGAUGUCAGAUUAGGUAGUUGGUGGGGUAAAGGCUCACCAAGCCAACGAUCUGUAGCUGGUCUGAGAGGACGACCAGCCACACUGGGACUGAGACACGGCCCAGACUCCUACGGGAGGCAGCAGUGGGGAAUUUUGGACGAUGGGCGCAAGCCUGAUCCAGCAAUGCCGCGUGCAGGAAGAAGGCCUUCGGGUUGUAAACUGCUUUUGUACGGAACGAAACGGCUCUGGUUAAUACCCGGGGCUAAUGACGGUACCGGAAGAAUAAGCACCGGCUAACUACGUG
rnacentral:rRNA from 1 species